UGUAAAAUGAUGAUGAGGACAAGUACGCUAUGCGGUAGCUCCAGAGAGUCGGUGGUCGCUGUGAACCGACGCGAAUGCAUAGUUGGAAUGGGCCUCGGAGUGCUGUGUUGAACCAGUGAUGUGCAUGAAGUAGACAUAGCCGCAGCUCUGCGUUACAGAGAUCAAGGCUUGCAGUGAGGGAGUCAGCAUAGUUUGCUGUUGCUUCCUAACAUUCGUAGGAUUGUGCUUGUAAGAAGUCACAGCCAACGAUUAUGCAGGCGAAUUAGGGUGGCACCACGGUUCUUCGUCCCUUGC
rnacentral:ncRNA from 1 species